GUGGACUACCAGGGUAUCUAAUCCUGUUUGCUCCCCACGCUUUCGCACCUCAGUGUCAGUAUUAGUCCAGGUGGUCGCCUUCGCCACUGGUGUUCCUUCCUAUAUCUACGCAUUUCACCGCUACACAGGAAAUUCCACCACCCUCUACCAUACUCUAGUCAGUCAGUUUUGAAUGCAGUUCCCAGGUUGAGCCCGGGGAUUUCACAUCCAACUUAACAAACCACCUACGCGCGCUUUACGCCCAGUAAUUCCGAUUAACGCUUGCACCCUCUGUAUUACCGCGGCUGCUGGCACAGAGUUAGCCGGUGCUUAUUCUGUCGGUAACGUCAAAACACUAACGUAUUAGGUUAAUGCCCUUCCUCCCAACUUAAAGUGCUUUACAAUCCGAAGACCUUCUUCACACACGCGGCAUGGCUGGAUCAGGCUUUCGCCCAUUGUCCAAUAUUCCCCACUGCUGCCUCCCGUAGGAGUCUGGACCGUGUCUCAGUUCCAGUGUGACUGAUCAUCCUCUCAGACCAGUUACGGAUCGUCGCCUUGGUGAGCCAUUACCUCACCAACUAGCUAAUCCGACCUAGGCUCAUCUGAUAGCGCAAGGCCCGAAGGUCCCCUGCUUUCUCCCGUAGGACGUAUGCGGUAUUAGCGUCGUUUUCGAACGUUAUCCCCACUACCAGGCAGAUUCUAGGCAUNCUACCCGUCGCGCUCUCNAGGAGCAGCUCUCUACGCCGACUGAUGUUAGGCUGCGCAGUUCAUUUACCAGAUACCCAAAGACACUUAUUAACCGGUAAAAAAACCUCCUUCUUUAAACGGGGAGGGGUAUUUCUCUAGAAUUUCCGGUUUUGUGAGAAUCUUUAAACGGCCNUUUUCUUUUUUUGGAAAGGGACUCGCCCCNUUAACUGGGAAUUUUGUGGGUUCCCAAAAAUAUUUAGAUUUUCAAC
rnacentral:rRNA from 1 species